GGUUGCUUCUAUGUUUUCUGAGUAGUGUGACAUUUAAUCAAUAGUGGGAUGGAUCUACUUUGCUCUUGUUAGUUUUAUGUCUUCGUGAAGACAGAAAGGAGCUGUCAGAAAGCCAAAGAAUCUGAGCUGUGAUAAUGAGAGAAGAAUGAGCGCUCACUGGACACUAGUCACUCAGUCCACUCACAGAUUUGAAGCUGAAAAAGAAGAGAAAAUAUCGAAUCCAGGGGUUGACAAAGGAGAACGUCUCUGCUCGAUCCAGGCGAUGCUUCCUGUCCAUUGCUUAUUUUGGCUCUUCCAGUCUGGCACAUCGAAGCACAGUGAGUUUACCUCCAAAAGAGC